CCAAUGGCCACCAGCGGACACACAGCUUGUUGUCAUCUAGAUUCCACAGCCUUGAAGGAAUGUCUGGAUCCAGUACCAACUACAUUCCUCCUGAGCAGGCUGGCUUUGCCUGUUGUUUGUACCAGGCAGUGUGGCCAGAUCAGAUGUGGGCCAACGCAGUGCGAUGUUCCCUGCUCAGCUCGUCUUGUCUCAUCUCAUCUCAUCUCAUCUCAUCUCAUCUCAUCUCGUCUCGUCUCAUCUCAUCUCAUCUCAUCUCGUCAUGUGAUAGGAAAAUCCACCUCAAAAUAAUGUCACCAGCAUCCAUUUAAUCCUUGAGGACAGACACGAGGACUAAAGCCGCCGUCUACACGUCUAUACUAUAUGGCCGCCUGAGUAAAGCAUGCUAGAAAUCAG